rnacentral:rRNA from 1 species
AUUGAACGCUGGCGGCAGGCUUAACACAUGCAAGUCGAGCGGGGGAAGGUAGCUUGCUACCGGACCUAGCGGCGGACGGGUGAGUAAUGCUUAGGAAUCUGCCUAUUAGUGGGGGACAACAUCUCGAAAGGGAUGCUAAUACCGCAUACGUCCUAUGGGAGAAAGCAGGGGAUCUUCGGACCUUGCGCUAAUAGAUGAGCCUAAGUCGGAUUAGCUAGUUGGUGGGGUAAAGGCCUACCAAGGCGACGAUCUGUAGCGGGUCUGAGAGGAUGGUCCGCCACACGGGGAGUGAGACAGGACCCAGACUCCUACGGGAGGCGGCGGUGGGGAAUAUGGGACAAUGGGGGGAACCCUGAUCCAGCCAUGCCGCGUGUGGGAAGAAGGCCUUAUGGUUGUAAAGCACUUGAGGCGAGGAGGAGGCUACUUUAGUUAAUACCAAGGGAUAGUGGACGUUACCCGCAGAAAAAGCACCGGCUAACUCGGGGCCAGCCGCCGCCGUAA